rnacentral:rRNA from 1 species
UACAGAGAGUGCAAGCGUUAAUCGGAAUUACUGGGCGUAAAGCGCGCGUAGGUGGAUAUUUAAGUCGGAUGUGAAAGCCCUGGGCUUAACCUAGGAAUUGCAUUCGAUACUGAACAUCUAGAGUAUGGUAGAGGGAAGUGGAAUUUCCGGUGUAGCGGUGAAAUGCGUAGAUAUCGGAAAGAACACCAGUGGCGAAGGCGGCUUCCUGGACCAAUACUGACACUGAAGUGCGAAAGCGUGGGGAGCAAACAGG